CGCCCGCGGGCUCUCGCGGCUAUCGUCGAUAGCCGACGGCGUACCGCAGACGCAUCCCAUGGCUCAGGCGGUGUGUCUAGCAGCGGAGGGGGAGGCGGAGAUCGUCCUGCUCGCUGGCGGCCAUGAGAGUGACGAGAGGUGGAUCGAGAGGCCGAGUGGGUGGAAGCCGACUCGGCAGGUGACGAGCGAGUACAGGUAGUUGGGAGUGAGAUCUGGG
rnacentral:misc_RNA from 1 species